rnacentral:rRNA from 1 species
AUUGAACGCUGGCGGCAGGCCUAACACAUGCAAGUCGAGCGGAUGAAGGGAGCUUGCUCCUGGAUUCAGCGGCGGACGGGUGAGUAAUGCCUAGGAAUCUGCCCGUUAGUGGGGGAUAACGUCCGGAAACGGGCGCUAAUACCGCAUACGUCCUGAGGGAGAAAGUGGGGGAUCUUCGGACCUCACGCUAUCAUAUGAGCCUAGGUCGGAUUAGCUAGUUGGUGGGGUAAAGGCCUACCAAGGCGACGAUCCGUAACUGGUCUGAGAGGAUGAUCAGUCACACUGGAACUGAGACACGGUCCAGACGCCUGCGGGAGGCAGCAGUGGGGAAUAUUGGACAAUGGGCGAAAGCCUGAUCCAGCCAGGCCGCGUGUGUGAGGAAGGUCUUCGGAUUGGAAAGCACGUUAAGUUGGGAGGAAGGGCAGUAAGUUAAUACCUUGCUGUUGUGACGUUACCAACAGAAUAAGCACCGGCUAACUUCGUG